CCAGCCAUGCUGGCUGGACAGUUCUGGGAGUUGAAGUCCAGAAGUCUUAAAGUUGCCAAGUUUAGAGACCUCUGUCCCAGACUUUCCCAUCCAGUAUCCUGGGACUGAAGUCCAUGCUGCUGAGGUUGAGAAAUCCUUGUCUGAAGGACUAGCUCUGUGUUAUUUUGGGCUUGGUUUGCCUUGCUUUUAUUAUGGUUUAGUGUAUCACUGCAGAAGCAGUUUAUACAGCCUGGCUUAUGAUAGUUACAUUAAGUCUUUUGAGAAAGAUGUCAUCACUCAUUUCCUGUUGUGGUAUUUACAGAUUUUCUCACUCUUUCAUUUUAUGCCCACAUUGAUUUUGCUGUUCUCAUUCUCAGCUUUCAGUUCUGCAACAUAUUAAAUUGUAUUACAUAUAGUAUCCCCAAAUUCAUUAACCGUUUUAGCAUACUUCUUCAAAAGAUGGGGCAAAUAAUCAAGCAGAACCAGGGUUCUGUCUUCUAAACACUGGAAAUUCUGCUCAGCCACAGCUUCAAAUUCUGUUUUUUCAAAGUAUAUCUAGUUUAUUUCUAGAAACAAAUGAAUGUGCACAGGUAUGUGUGUGUAUAUGUGUGUGUCUUUUGCAGAAUAAGUCAUGAUAUUCAGGAGGCUAACACUUUGUGCUCAGCAUAAAACCCAGGAUCACAUAGCCAUGAUAAGUGAAUGUUCACACAAAUGUGACAGAAAUGCACUCGUCUAAACUUGGUGCAGUUGACUUGAUUGUCAAGAUAUCUAAAGUAACAGGAUAUUUUGUUCAAUUGUAAUACCAAGCCACGCUUUAGUAAUGGGCAAACAGUCCUUCAUUGUCAAAGCAUGCAAAUCUAAACUGCCAAAAAUAGCAUUUGCAUUCCUCCUCUAAAAUAAGAUUAUAAUCCAUUAUCAGCCUGUCACUUACAAUUGUCAUUUGGUUGGCAAACACAAAUCAUAGUUUGCAGAUUAUGAAAUAAUGGUGCAUGAUUUAUUAUGUAGGAGAAUGGAAUUCAAUUUUCCUAGUGAAUUGAGUGGUUCUUGCAUUUUAUAUUUCAAUCUAAGGAAACUUGAUCACAUAGUUAUGUAAACAGGGAUAGAUGGAUCACAAUAGGUAAUGAGAAGAGUUUUAGACUGCAUCUAUUCACUGCUCUGCUUGACUUUCCAUUAUAUUGCUGGAACAUGUGUCUAACCACCAUGAUGUUCAAUACAUAUUUUAAAAUAGCCUUCUCACUUGAGUGUCCUCUAAUACAUUGUGAUUAUAAUUCCCUGAAUUCACAGCAGGCUUAGUUUAAGUUAUGUGGAUGGCAGAGGUUUGGGGUUUUGGUAUAACAAAACUAAUACAAAAUGCUGUUUGAGAUUCUAAUAUUUACUUGACACUCCAAUAUUUUCCCUUUCACCCCUUAACUCCUUAUGUUGGGCAACCAACAAUGAUAAUUUAGCACAUAAUGACAAAGCCAAGUUAUUCAUUGAUGAAUGAAAUCUAGUCCUUUCUUUAUGAAAAGAAAAACAACAAGAAAUUAUUUCUUAAAAAUGAUAUCCUAUUUUUAACUUUUCCCAUAAUGACAUUAAUGCGUAUGGCAUCUAAAAUCACGGAAAAACUCAUCUAAGCUAAAGCUUCACAAUUGCUCAUUUGAACUUUCACAGUAAACUUUAUUUCCUCACAUGUUCAUUUUUAUUAUUUUCUGUAUGAAGCUUAUGUGACACAUAGGGCAUAUGUGUAUGUGUGUAUGCGCAUACAGAUACACAAGUGAAAAUAAAAAUAGUAUUAGGCUGAAAUUCUAUUUACGUUUUUGUACCAUGGAAUAACUUGGUGGUCUGUUUUCAUGCUUGCGAAAUCUGUUAAUUGCAACCCAAGUUAACAUACAUUACUUGCUUUCAGAAACAUAGAAAUGUUAUAAGAGACAGGUUUUCAUAGAUUUGACUUGGAAUUAGGUUUUGUUUCUUUUCUUCUUCUCUUACUGCUUUUGACCCUAUAAAUUUUACCAGGUAAUGGUAGUGGCUGUAAUUAUGUAGCAAUGUUGUUAUGAACACUGAAUGUUAGGAGCUCUGAGAAAAUCUCUUUAUCUUGACAAUAGUAUCAAUUCCACUGCUCCAGGUGCAUUGCACUAAUGUAAAUGUGUCUGGAUUAAUCAUGGGCGCUGAGCUCCUAAAAAUUGUACUUAUACCAACAUUCUGUAAUUCCUCUAGGUUUGGAUUUUUUUCACAAAAACCAUAUUCCAGUCUUUCCACCAGUUUUUGGUGUAAAGAUAAAACAGUGGUUGGUCUAGCUGACUGUAAGCCAAAGCCCAGCUUUUAAUUGUUAUUGAUCUUCUGAAAGUUAAGAAUACCAUUUUUUCCCCAAGGCAAAAUUUUCAAUUUUCAGACCAGCUCCAUAGGUAGUGUGACUGCUAAAAUUAAUCCUUCCUGAUUUAAAAAAAAAAAAAAAAAGCUUAUAAGGCACACUGGAGGAAGAUGCUUGCUCUGAAAAUGAUAGUUUCUUUUUCCUUUCCCUGAAUUUUGCUCCGCUACAAAAGUAUUAAGAUAGUUGGUGUUCUGCUUUAGAGACAGGAACUUCUGUAGCGUGAAUACAAAGCUAUCGCUGCUGUCCUUCACAACACCACUCCAAGGAAUCACAUUUUCUUCUUUAGCAUUUCUUCUUAUGUGGAAGACCUGGAGGAAGAGUAGGUGAAAUGAAUGGCAGAGAGGUUGGAUAAUACAGUAUUUUGUGAUAAAUAAGAAAUAAUAAAAUAUGUGUGAGGCAUGCAAAUUCAUUUUUGACCAUACAAGUUGUUUACCUCUUUUACUGAGGACAGCACCAGAGUCAUGUGGUGCUAUAAAAUUUGUCUUUGUUCAAGUGAUACCCAAGCUCUUACUAGAGAGGUAACCUUUCUAUUGAGUGCAAUAAUUAAAUACAUUUAUGCUGACAAACUAAGCCGGUUGUUUAUCACCUGGAGGUCACUAUGGGCAAAAAUUACAAUGGCAAAUGAAUAAUCUUUAAUUAUUGAUAUAAACAGAGUCUGUAGGGUAAUGUGCAAGUAUGCAUACCAUGUUAUUAGAUACAGGUUUUGGUUGUAUAACAUCUGGACAACCAAUCAGGUGGCUAUGGCCAAAAGAGCUUACUCAAUGCAAGUUUUGAAUAAUAGAUUUGUUAUUCAGGCUACAUGUGUACUGUCAGAGAUCUGUUGAGCAGUGUUUGAAAAUUCCUAUAUGGCAUAUUGGAAUAGGCACUCAAAUGGAUUGUUUAGGCUAUUAACUAUUUCAGAUAAGGCAUAUUGAUCCAUAUUUUUUAUCUGCAUAGCUGUUUUUUUCUUUGAAAACAAAGUACUCUGUGCAAAUAUAACACAUAGCAUUUUUCUGUGGUAUUGUUAAAUUAAUUGCUAAUUUUGGAUCAGACCAUAUCAGGAUUGUAUAUAUAUUUACACCAAAGUAACUGAGUUUGGUGUGACUUACUUCUGAGUAAAUGUGAGUGUAGGGUUGUGGGGUAAGUUACUUAAGACUCGUUAAUUUCAGUAAAUGAUAUCUUCAUUUCAUUUCAUCUGGAUCCAACCCACUGGAUUUAUUUUCUGUUUUAUUGCAUGGUUCUGUCAAAAUUCUCCCCACCAACUUGGAUUGCAUAGAAAUUAUUAUUUUAUUAAACAUGACCUAUCCUCAGAGAAAUGGUUGCCUGUGUGCUGUGCACAAAAAUAGCGUGUUCUUUGCUAUCACAUUUUCACUUGGAAGUAAUGCUUCCUAAUCAUAGCAUUUUUAUGUGGGCUUGCCAACAGAGAGUACAUCUUAUGCCAUUAACCUUAUGCUUUUUGAGAUAGUGUAUCAGCUUUUACUUAACAUACAUCUUGAUUAAUGACAGUUUGCUUUGUCUUUCAUGUGGUAGAGGCAGUCUUUUCUUAUUUAGGGUUUUUAUGCAUAAGGGCUUUCUAAAAAACUAAAAGGGCUGCAACCUAUGAGAAGCUAUGUACACAGAGUAGGAAAGUGCCCCCCAGAGGAUCACUACCCAACUCGCCUAACUGUAGCUUAGUUUAUAUAGCUGCAAACUUUCUUUGCCUUAUCAAUGAUGCUUCACUAGCAAAUGGCCUUACAGUGAACACAUCUGCAUACUUAACAAUAGAGUGUUUACCUAAAAUUAAUCCCAGGAUUGCAUUGAGUUUGGUGUUGUUGUAUGAUUUAUGUAUUGAAACUGAGUUUUUAAAGCCUUACUUCUUCUUUUUUCUUUUAAAUAGAAGCAAAAUGUUAUGGGAUGUAAGGAUGUAUGUAUGGCUGUAUAUAUAGAUGAGACGUAUGUGCAUGCAUGUACAUUCACACAAAAUGUAAACAUCUGAAAUAUAAGUGUAUGUUUAUGGAAAACACUUUUGAUGGUAACAUACAGGGGUGCUGUUCUGAAAAGAAAAAAAAGAAAGAUGUUCAGCUGCAUCUAUGCUUGGUCAUAUCCACUGAAAUAAAAACCCAUUGGAUUCCUCUACUGGGGAUCCUGUGCUCCUGCCGGAUUAGUUAGUUUCCUGGAACUAGUUCCUACAGCAGGUUUUGAUCAGGUAUAUUGAGUUUUUUUGUGAACAUUCACUGCCAUUGCAAAUAAUACUUUUGUUUGCUAAGCAGUACAUUCAAAUCAGCAGGCAGACAGACGGACAACAGCUUAGUUGGCACACAGAUCAAUCUGUACUGUUGAAAUGUAAUGACAACAGCAAUAAAUGUCAAUAAUUUUCCCUUUAAAAAAAAAAGUUUUUAAAUGCAACUUUUAUGGAAGGGUUUUGUCCUAUUAGCACUGAUGAAUGUUCUUAUAGGGAAUGUAUUGUAGAUCUAACAGUCAUUGCUAUUUAGAACUGAAUAAAUAUUUAGUAUGUAUUUAAUUACAUACUGAAGAAAAAAAUAAGGUGAAAUAGAACGUAUUUCUGGAUUUUACUGUAACUUUUCACAAGUAGCAUAAUUUCUUUUGCCCAGUAAUAAUUGUAUUACAAAUGCAUUUUAGAUACUCCUUCUUGAAACAGAACUAGAGAAUAUUUUUAGAAUUAUAGUAGUCUUUUUCAGCAUUAUAUUUUCAGUGUCUAAGAACCAAUGAAUCAGAACACAAUGAUGGCCAAAAAGCCUUUGAAAAUCCUUGAAGUCUAGCAAUGUUUAGUUCCAAGGGUGUGCGUGGGUGUGUGGGUGUACACAGACACAUGUAUGUAUGUCUUUUUGUUCAUGGUAAUUGCACAGAUGCAAACAUAUUGACAUAUAUACAAAGUCAGCUCUGUAGUUGGUGUUUGUUCAAAAUCUAAUGUCGGUGAAGACUGUUCCCUGACAUGGAAAAAUUAAGAAAACUGCUGAUUUGUACUCUCUCAAAUGACUUUAUUGCACUAUAGAGCAGCUGCAGUCUCAGGAAUUUACUUGUUACUCUGUGUAAAUAAAGCUUUCUGAUUCUG